rnacentral:rRNA from 1 species
GAGUUUGAUCAUGGCUCAGGACGAACGCUGGCGGCGCGCCUAACACAUGCAAGUCGAACGGAGAUGAUAAAAGCUUGCUUUGAUCAUCUUAGUGGCGGACGGGUGAGUAACGCGUGAGCAACCUGCCUUUCAGAGGGGGAUAACGUCUUGAAAAGGACGCUAAUACCGCAUAACAUUAACUUCCCGCAUGGGGGGAUAAUCAAAGGAGCAAUCCGCUGAAAGAUGGGCUCGCGUCCGAUUAGCCAGUUGGCGGGUAGAGGCCCACCAAAGCGACGAUCCGGUAGCCGGACUGAGAGGUUGAACGGCCACAUUGGGACUGAGACACGGCCCAGACUCCUACGGGAGGCAGCA